UACCCUGUAGAUCCGGGCUUUUGUGACUUACACAUCAGAAGCUCGUUUCUACAGGUAGC
rnacentral:precursor_RNA from 1 species